CCCGAGGGCCGGACUCUGGCCAAAGCGGGGCUCCUCCGCGGGAGGCCGGGCCAAGGUAAGAGAGGGCGCAACUCCCCCAGCUGGAGCCCGCGAGGAGACCCCGUCUGGCAGCAGGCCCUGCUCCCCAGCGGCUUCCCCUCCUCCACCUCGUAGUCAGGCCCGGCUGAUCCCGGGGCGCCGCCGCUCAGCCCAGCUCUGGAAAGGGAGCUGGGGUCUGCAGGAUCAGCGCGUUUGGCCAAUGGAGUAUGAAGAAAUGUAAGAGUAAGAAUUGCAUAUCAAAACAGUAUACAGUUUAAUGUUUAAAAUGAUCAAUGUACAUAUCCACGUGUUAGUGAGCCUUCUCACACAGUUGUUGAAGAUAAAAACUCUUAAAUUUUCUAGAAGAGCCUCAAGUUGUCACCCUGGGUAGAGUGCCGUGGCAUCACAGCUCACAGCAACCUCCAACUCCUGGGCUCAAGAGAUUCUCCUGCCUCUGCCUCCCAAGUAGCUGGGACUACAGGCGCCUGCCACCUCCAUGCCCGGCUAUUUUUUGGUUGCAGCCAUCAUUGUUGUUUGAUGGCCGGGGCUGCAUUCGAACCUGCCAUCUCAGGUGUAUGUGGCUGGCGCCUUAGCCACUUGAGCCACAGGUGCUGAGCCAGCUUCAAUUAAUUCUCAAGAUUAAAAACAAAAUCAAGCAUGUUUUCUUAUCAGGAGACAAGAUUAAAGCUUGAAUUUACAGAAGCACACCUGAAUAUGCAGGUAUUCAUAGAAAAAAUAAUUUAAUACCUUAUACCACAAUAGCUUGAAAAGAAGUAUGAAAAAUUGAUAUAUAAUUAAGAUGAAAGGUUUAAAAUGCUGAUGAGGAAAUCUCUCGUAAAAUGUUUGCUCUAGGAAAUUCUAAACUUUUAACUAAAGGGAAAAAGCUAAAGGAAGAUAAUUAAUCUUCAAGAGUGAAAGUAUUAUAAUACUAACUGUCUUAUCUGAGAUGUAAUUAUAUUUUCAAGGACCAUAGAACCACAUGAAAGCUGUAACCCAGUUACAACCUAAGAAUAGGGGGAAGAGGGAAAGGGAGGGGAGGGAGGAGGGAGGUGGGUAGAGGGAAGGAGAUUGGUGGGAUUACACCAGUGGUGCAUCUUACAAGGGUAUAUGUGAAACUUGGUAAAUGGUCUGUGAAGCUAGUGAAUGAUGCCCUAUGAUUAUAUCAAUGUACACAGCUAUGAUUUAAAAAAAAAAAAAAAAGAACCAUAGAACCAUCUAGUUUUAAAGAUGAAACCAGAGAAUAUAUGUGAAUUUAUGGCAAAUGAUUUCCUUAGCAUCAUUUUUAUUGUCAAUAAAAAGUCUCAAAACUAUUAAUUUUGGUAAGAAUUCUACAAUUACUGAUUAAAUGCUGUCCUGGGACAGGUUGACUAAAUAGCUCGUGAUCAUAACCAGGUAGUGACAAAGAGUUUCCAUGGGUUUCAACCAAAACAUUUUCAGGAGUGUAAUAAAGGAAAACUUCUUUUCCUGUAAGACACACAUUUCUUUUUUUAAGCUACCAUCUUAAGAUGUAUUUUCAUGAAUUAUACAAAGCUUAUGGCAUUAUUUUGAGCCAGACAGUACUUGUAUGAAAUUCAGUGAUAAGGUUUCAAAGAAAGUUCUACCUUACAGGGAAUGAGGCAGAAAAGUUCUGUUUACUAUUCAGCACAGUGUACAGAACCAGGCAUUAUGAUGGGUCAUAGGUUUCCACUGAUAAAAUAGGAAGUUUUGUUGAAAAUAGCUAUUUUCUGUCUAUUUCAUAAGUAACCUUUUUUAAAAUUUUAGAAUAAUUUGUGUUAAGUCUCUGAAUGAAUAGUGUUCAGGAUGUAAACCAUCCACUCUAAUUUGUUUAGAGUAGAUGGUUUGGAAAGAACUCUUUGGAGAGGUGGCUUUUAAGCCAAUAUUUGAAAGAUAAGAGGGAGAAAUCACUGAGUAAAAAAAAAUAAAUAAAAUAAAUGUGGUGUUAUAUAAGCCAAGAGAAGAAAGAAGUUGUCUACAGUGUCAAUCCAUACAGGUCAGUCAGUUAAUAACCAUUAUACAUACUUAUUAGAUUUAGUAUCAAAGAGGUUGUAAAAUGCUUUGGCAAGAACAGGAUCAGUUGAGUGGUAGAGAGCAGAAGAAAUUGUAAGCUAAUAACAUGGUAAGUUAUUACAUCAUAAAUUAUUACGAAAGAGUAUUAUACAAUCAUUAAAACUGAUGUGAAGAAAGAUACUUAAUGAUAUGUAAAAAAUGCUCACUAAUACCUUUAAAAGAAUAUAAAAUUACUUAUGCAGAAAUCUUUUAAAAAUAUAAGUGACUAUAAUAUAUUUACCUCUGAAUAUAUAAAAUAGAAAAAUAUGUCAAUGUUAAAUAUAAUAAUUUUAUGUUAGGUUAAAUAUAUUGUAAAUAUAUGUAACUGGAAGAGAAUACACUAAA